rnacentral:tRNA from 1 species
GCCUGCGUGAUGUAGUGGUCAGCACGCUCGACGCGUAACCGAGAGGUCCGUGGUUCGAUUCCCGGCGAAGGCG